rnacentral:rRNA from 1 species
CCUACGGGUGGCAGCAGUGAGGAAUAUUGGUCAAUGGACGCAAGUCUGAACCAGCCAUGCCGCGUGCAGGAAGACGGCUCUCUGAUUUGUAAAUUGCUUUUGUACGAGGGUAACCGCAGAUUCGCGUUUCUGUCUGAAAGUAUCGUACGAAUAAGGAUCGGCUAACUCCGUGCUAGCAGCCGCGGUAAUACGGAGGGUUCAAGCGUUAUCCGGAUUUAUUGGGUGUAAAGGGUGCGUAGGCGGGCAGGUAAGUUAGAGGUGAAAUCCCGAGGCUCAACUUCGGAAUUGCCUCUGAUACUAUUCGGCUAGAGAGUAGGAGCGGAAGGCGGAAUGUAUGGUGUAGCGGUGAAAUGCGUAGAGAUCAUACAGAACACCAGUUGCGAAGGCGACUUACCGGACAACAUCUGACGUUGAGGCACGAAAGCGUGGGGAGCAAACAGGAUUAGAUACCCUAGUAGUC